AUACGGAGGGUGCAAGCGUUAAUCGGAAUUACUGGGCGUAAAGCGUACGUAGGCGGUUAAGUCAGUCAGAUGUGAAAGCCCUGGGCUCAACCUGGGAACUGCAUUUGAUACUGCUUGGCUAGAAUAUGGUAGAGGGAAGUGGAAUUCCGGGUGUAGCGGUGAAAUGCGUAGAUAUCCGGAGGAACACCAGUGGCGAAGGCGGCUUCCUGGACCAAUAUUGACGCUGAGGUACGAAAGCGUGGGUAGCAAACGGGAUUAGAAACCCCUGUAGUCC
rnacentral:rRNA from 1 species